AGAUAUUUAAAACGACAAUCUUAACUAAGUAACACAAAAAGGAGUUUUAGUUGUUUACAAAUCAAUUUUCAAAGUUUUCUUUUCUUGUGGAUGUGUAUGUGUGUGUGUUUACGUGUGUCGUCGUGGCGGAGGAAUUUUUUCUUCAUUUUUACUUCUCGCAAAGCGUGAUAUGAGUCAAAUUAACCCGUUCAACGAUUCCAGUUUCCUCUCACAUUUUCUCCAGUUUUCACGAUUAGUAUUUUAAAAAUGGGGUGAAAGUUGUAAGCUGUUUUUCCAAAAACAACCUCUGCCCGUGUGUGUUGCCGUUUUUCAGGUUAACCGUGAUGCUGCAGCGGUUAUCAGGUAUGCCGCAGAGUUGUAAUAAAAGCCGUCCUGGAUCAGAGCCACGAUCCGCUGCCAUGCCAGUCAGAGAGCAGCCUUCAUGGACGAUGGAGCCCCUCGCUCUGACAUGGAGCUCAUCCGUCAGACUCCAGCUGUCAGCCGUAGAUUUACACAGCAGACCACGCUGUUCACAGGCCAGAUAGCAAUGACCCAUCAGACCAGGGAGGGUGUGUGUUCUUGUGCACUCUCCUUAACCAUAAACAUGCCAUCUUCCCACAGUGUGAAACCCAUGGGAAAGCAAGCCCUCCCCUGUUAUUCAGGCACAACCUCUGACUUUGGAUUUAUCUGUGUUGAUGCUUUGCUACAAUUUGAAGCAGGAGCAAAAGAUGCAUUUCUUUGCUGGGGCUUCUUAUUUACUAUCAUCAGCAGUUGUGUGGAGCUGCUUUUAUGUUAUUUUCAGACACUCUGUUCCAAUUAUUCCCUGAUUACAUUAAAGUAUUUUCCCACA